AAUGCGACAUAUAACCUAAGUUCAGAAACCGAUGUUUGGCUGGAAAAAACUAUCUUUUUAAUUAUACCAGUUCAGCAACUUCCUGUCCCACUAGUUGAUGGCUGUAUAGAGAUAUUGUUAAGAGCAACUGAACAUAUCAAGGUUUUAGGACGAUUGUGAAAAAAACUCUUCUGAGUAAAGACAGAUAAGCUUAAUAUGCUCCCAGAAGGGGUUCCUGAUGUCACCCAUUCACUUUCUACUGGCACAUCUGGUGUUGGAUACCCCAGAAGAGAAGCAUGUACAUUACCUUCUGUCUAG